GGUGGUGGUCGAGUGGGUUUGAGCGUUCAGUUACCACCUCGGAGGUUCGGGGUUCGAAUCCCCGCCACCACCG
rnacentral:tRNA from 1 species